rnacentral:rRNA from 1 species
AAGUGUUAGGGGGUUUCCGCCCCUUAGUGCUGCAGCUAACGCAUUAAGCACUCCGCCUGGGGAGUACGACCGCAAGGUUGAAACUCAAAGGAAUUGACGGGGGCCCGCACAAGCGGUGGAGCAUGUGGUUUAAUUCGAAGCAACGCGAAGAACCUUACCAGGUCUUGACAUCCUUUGACCACUCUGGAGACAGAGCUUUCCCUUCGGGGACAAAGUGACAGGUGGUGCAUGGUUGUCGUCAGCUCGUGUCGUGAGAUGUUGGGUUAAGUCCCGCAACGAGCGCAACCCUUGAUUUUAGUUGCCAGCAUUUAGUUGGGCACUCUAAAGUGACUGCCGGUGCAAGCCGGAGGAAGGUGGGGAUGACGUCAAAUCAUCAUGCCCCUUAUGACCUGGGCUACACACGUGCUACAAUGGAUAGUACAAAGGGUCGCGAAGCCGCGAGGUGGAGCUAAUCCCAUAAAACUAUUCUCAGUUCGGAUUGUAGGCUGCAACUCGCCUACAUGAAGCCGGAAUCGCUAG